rnacentral:rRNA from 1 species
AUUGAACGCUGGCGGCAGGCCUAACACAUGCAAGUCGAGCGGCAGCGGGAAAGUAGCUUGCUACUUUUGCCGGCGAGCGGCGGACGGGUGAGUAAUGCCUGGGGAUCUGCCCAGUCGAGGGGGAUAACUACUGGAAACGGUAGCUAAUACCGCAUACGCCCUACGGGGGAAAGCAGGGGACCUUCGGGCCUUGCCCGAUCGGAUGAACCCAGGUGGGAUUAGCUAGUUGGUGAGGUAAUGGCUCAACAAGGCGACGCUCCCUAGCUGGGUCUGAGAGGAUGAUCAGCCACGCUGGAACUGAGACACGGUCCAGACUCCUACGGGAGGCAGCAGUGGGGAAUAUUGCACAAUGGGGGAAACCCUGAUGCAGCCAUGCCGCGUGUGUGAAGAAGGCCUUCGGGUUGUAAAGCACUUUCAGCGAGGAGGAAAGGUUGGUAGCUAAUAACUGCCAGCUGUGACGUUACUCGCAGAAGAAGCACCGGCUAACUCCGUGCCAGCAGCCGCCGUAACAC